CAAGUGUGGAAGGAAUAAUAAACAAUGAGCGAUCAACGUCAGCGCCACAAAAGCACCAAAAUGAUGUGUGAAGGAUAAACAAUUUGGCAUACAAAAACAAAAAGGGGAGCGUAAAAUUGUUUUAAAACUUCAUUUACUCAUAUUGGCGUCUUGACGUUCCGGAGCAGACUCGCUUAUUUAUUUUGCUAGCAAUAACUGGAGAGUGGCGCCACUAGAACAAUGUCUAUCCCUUCGUUUUGGUUGGAUGCAACCUGCAGAUGUCGAUGAAGUUGCACACAUGUGCGAAGUAGUGGAACAAAAAGAACAACCAUUGAUUGACGAACGCACGAGACUCCAUGAACCCCAGACGUUGGCAACACCAAUUCAGAUGAAAGACUUUCUCAAGCAGGAGAGCUACAUAAAUCUGCUUAGGCGGUCGAAGUUACUGGGAAAGGUUGUCGCUGAAUCCCACUCGUCUUGAAGGAAAACCAUUUGGCCUCAUAUUUACAUACAAAGCAAGCCACAAGCUCAACAGCGUUUGCGGGAUUGCUGAAUUUAUGGUGAAAUUGAUAAUAAAAUAGAUUUGCUAUAGAGCCAAAUUUAUAGCUAUGCACAUAUGUAUAGAACAAUUGACUUUGACUUGAUAUGCUUGGUGGAUGUGAGCAAAAAAAUCUGCACAGCACGGAGGAAACAGCGCAGUCAUACAAGACGAACUUGCGACCAGCAUGUGUGGGCGUGAGAGGCAGGAGAUGGAGAUCAUCAGCUUUCAUUGACUUACAAGGGAAUUUAUGGAGACGCAAAAAAAAAAAAAAAUUGUAUUGAAAACACAACCGAAAGAUUGUAAAACAUCAACUGCUGAUAGCUACAGUCAAUAUUUAAAUACACACACGCGCACACACACUUACACUCAUAUACAAACAUCCAUAUACAUAUUUUUGCAUAUUUAUAUGCACAUCUGUAAGUAUCAGCGCAUUCAAGCCAUUUAACCUCCAACACAAAACUUUAUUAGCUUCGUUGAUAACCCACCGAAGAGCAACAUGACGCACACACUCACACUUGCACACGCUGAAGCUACCUCCAGUGCGCUUUACGUUCUUUGCAUACUUCUAAUUCACCACCCACAGCAUUAUUGUCUCUUGCCACUUUUCUUUAUACAUAUUUUUUGCUGUUGCUCUGUUGUUGCCUCCCUUUCGUGUUGUUGUUUUUUGGCAAGCCGCGUGUGGGUAGUCGUGUGGCGUAUUCAAUUCGCAAAUUUUUAUCCUGAUGAUUCUUUUGAUUAAACUAAUACUGCGUGUAUGCGCUCCCUGCUUGGUUUUGGGUUUUGUUUUUCGUACUUACUUAUUCAAUACUUCAUAUUUGAGUCUUUGGCUUGCGCGUUUUCAUCCCCAAAUAUUUUUUAAUGCUAUAACUUAUGCCACUUACUCUUUGCGCUCGAAAUCAAAGGUCAUAAAAGCGAAGCUCAGUGGGUGUAAGGCGUUGUUUGAAUUACAAAUUAAAUACUGCUGCUGUUCGAUUUAUUCAAAUUAGUGCUUUCGAAAUUCUUUUGCAAAAUUAUUUGCUAUUUUCCGCCUCAUUUGGUGGGUAGUCUUUGCCAUUUGGGCUUCUCCUUCGUUUUCUUGCAUAUUUUUAUAGUUAAAAAAUUUUUUUAAUUCAAUAACUCAUU
rnacentral:misc_RNA from 1 species